GCUGUGAUGCGUGGCAGCAGCGGGGUGGUGCGGAUGGUGCGGGGCUGCGGCUCAGAGAGCUGGUUCUAUUCCAGGGUCACAGUACUCAUCACAGCAGUGAUCUAGGUGCAGCGAGGCGCGCGGGGACGGUCAUUCACGACAGAACGACAAGGGGACGAACACCUACAGCCCUAGGACCAGAUGACCCCACAAAGAACGCAGCUGGUGGCCACAGGUCCCGCCGACCCUCGAGGCCCCAAAACCUGCGACCUGUUUUAGGGACCGGUACCGGACCUAGAGAGCCAGCACCAGAGAGAGAGAGAAGGCCCAGACGUCAGGACUCGGCCGGUUUGAAUGCCUGAAUUUAAAAUUAGGCGGCUGAAAAUUGACUUUUGUGUUGUGAAGUCUAGCCAGGGAAUAGAGACCCAGAAACGAAGGGAAAGGUUUUCGGUGACCUCGGGGACCCUGCUCAGAUGGAAGACUUGGGCCCAGAAGUGCCAAGGCCUGGAAAGCGGCAGAAUUUGGACCUUAUUUGGCAAACGGGGACAGAGACUCUUGCCGGGACGCCUUGGUCGUGCCAGGACCAAAUCCAGAAGACCUACUUAGGCGUGUGAGUGUGAUUUUUCCUGUGCUACCUCAAAUCCGCACUCUGGUUGUCAGGUCUCCUUCUAAAGGAAAAUUCCACUUUAAACAUAGUCGCUUCGGACUGCUCCAGUCGCCUG
rnacentral:lncRNA from 1 species